GAAGUUGUUGAAAGAAAAAAAAGACUCUGCAUACCCUUUUCCUUCUUUCCUGUAUCAAAACUAGGGUUCACCAUUUCCCCCUUUCUCCUCUCAUCAACACCACCUCAGCCCCCAUCCCUCUCCUAACCACCUCCCGCCGCCCUCCUCCUCCGUCUCCUCACCACCGAGAGCCGCCCUCCUCCUCCCUCUCCUCGCAACCGAGCGCCGCCCUCCUCCUCCCUCCGGCCGCCUCCAUCCCUCUCCUGACCACCUCCCGCUCGGCGCCUCCUCCUCCUCACAACCUACAGCCGGUCGCCGCCUCCUCCUCCUCCUCACAACCUCCCGCCGGUCGCUCCUCUACCUAGGUUCGUUUCUUGCUCGUUUUUUUUUUCUAUUAAACUGAUUUUUAAUUUAAUGUACUCAUUAUUAUGAUGUGGUUAAGUUUGAUUUGGUUUUUUUUAUGGAUAUGUUUAUUUUUCUGAUUUUUUUAUUAGUUUUUUCUGAUUUUUUUUCAAUAUUUUACUCAUUAUUAUGUUGAUUGAUGUUAUAUGUAGAAUGGUUAUGUUGUAUGUUGAUUAUUAUUAGUUGUUACAUUAGAAAUAUUGGCUAAUUGGUAUGAUUGUGAAUGGUUAUGUUAUACAUGUUUUCUUUGUGUUGUAUGUUUGAUUGUGGUUAUGUUGUAUGUUGAAAAAAGAUACAAGUUUUCUUUGUGAAUGGUUAUGUUGUAU
rnacentral:lncRNA from 1 species